AUAUUGGACAAUGGGCGCAAGCCUGAUCCAGCCAUACCGCGUAGGUGAAGAAGGCCUUCGGGUUGUAAAGCCCUUUUGUUGGGAAAGAAAAGCAGCGGGCUAAUACCUUUCUGUUCUGACGGUACCCAAAGAAUAAGCACCGGCUAACUUCGUGCCAGCAGCCGCGGUAAUACGAAGGGUGCAAGCGUUACUCGGAAUUACUGGGCGUAAAGCGUGCGUAGGUGGUUGUUUAAGUCUGUUGUGAAAGCCCUGGGCUCAACCUGGGAACUGCAGUGGAAACUGGAUGACUAGAGUGUGGUAGAGGGUAGCGGAAUUCCCGGUGUAGCAGUGAAAUGCGUAGAGAUCGGGAGGAACAUCCAUGGCGAAGGCAGCUACCUGGACCAACACUGACACUGAGGCACGAAAGCGUGGGGAGCAAAC
rnacentral:rRNA from 1 species